rnacentral:lncRNA from 1 species
UAUUUUUUUUGAUAGUUUAAUUAAUAAACUAAAACACAAAAACUUUAUCUUAUAUUUUUCUGACGAUAAUCACAAAAGCUAUUCUAAAUUAUCCAGCAUAAGUUCGUAAUAAUAGCCUUUGUAAUAAAAAAUUAUAAAAUUAAUUCCAUUUAUACAUAAAAAACAAACGAAAAUAACUUUAUACUAUAUUUCAUCACACUUGUCCUACAAAAAUACAUAUUUUACAGUAGAUAUUUUAUAAUAGACAAGUACAUCCAUCAACAGUGACAACAUUUCUUUUAUAGCACAUACAGAUACAUGCAUUAGAGCUUGAAUCCUUAUCCAUCUAAUUCUCCUUUUAACACGUUAUCUAAUUGAAAAGUAGAACUCAUCCCACUUAAACAUUUUUCUAUAAAUAACAUCAAUGCCCAAGCUCCUUCUUCCACCUUCAAACAUCUAAUAGAACAAACGCAUAUUCCAGUUCCCAACUACAGAAAAACUAAAAAACCCAUAUUCCCAUUUCCCAGCGAGUGGGUGAAGCAAUCUAGCUUGCGCCUACCUCACCUCACACCGAAGUGCGCACCAGCUAACCUAAUGGAUCCAGGCAAGCCUGAUGAUGAACAAGUUGAGCUAUUCGAGUCGACCCAUUUAACACUCUUAACACUCUCUUAAGCCGCCCCUUCCAUCCAUCGUCCUUGACUCCACCAAAAAGAUUUUCCCCUUCUAUUCUUGUUUUUGGUAGCUUGUAUACGAGAGUUGUUGGAAGUUGGGGUAGGAUUUUUUUAUUUAUUAUUUUUUAUUAUUUUUUUUUGUAGGAAUGAAUAUGGCAACUGGUUGGAUUUAAAGAUUAGGACAAACAAGGGAG